rnacentral:rRNA from 1 species
CAGAAUCAUAUGCUUGCUCCGAAGAGUAAGCCAUGCAUGCUAGGACACCAUGAUGGCCCUGGGCCGGCUCAGCCCGGCCCAGAGGCCGCAAGGAAUCUGCGAACGGCUCCGUACAACUGUUAUAAUCCUGCCGUGGGGCGAGACUCGGAUAAGUGGCGGUAAACCUGCACCUAAAACGUAUAGGGGCCCCCCCCAGCUCUGCAGGGGAGGGCCCCAGCUCUUUCAUACCUGCUAAAACAGGGAAACGAGGGCCUCCAAAUAACGGAAAGCAGCCAGCCGGCCUGCCCCCCGGGGCGGGCCGACUCGUCCCUGGGCACUCCCCAGGGGCCUGCUGUUCCAUACCAGGACGUGGCUGGAGACUAACCGAAGGUGCUGUAAGGCCCCGCAAGGGGCGGACCGCAGGGCACGAUGGGUUUCAGGCCUAUCAACUUGCUGGUAGGGUAUUGGCCUACCAGGGUUGUUACGGGUACAGAGGAUUAGGGUUUGAUCCUGGAGAGGUGGCCUGAGAAAUUGCCACCACUGCUACGGCAGGCAGCAGGCGCGCAACGUUCCCAAUGUUUUUACAUGAGGUACGUGAAGGGGCGUAACAACGCCUCGCCUAAGGCGAGGCGAUUGAAAUGGGGCGGGCUUAAACA